UACGUAGGGGGCAAGCGUUAUCCGGAUUUACUGGGUGUAAAGGGAGCGUAGACGGAGGAGCAAGUCCGAUGUGAAACUCCGGGGCUUAACCCCGGAACUGCAUUGGAAACUGUUUAUCUGGAGUGCCGGAGGGGUAAGCGGAAUUCCUGGUGUAGCGGUGAAAUGCGUAGAUAUCAGGAGGAACACCGGUGGCGAAGGCGGCCUGCUGGACCGGAACUGACGCUGAGGCACGAAAGCGUGGGGAGCAAACAGG
rnacentral:rRNA from 1 species